UGGAAACUGAACCACGCCCACGGUAGACAUAACACAGAGACCUCCUCCAGAGCGUGGUCCCCUUUGGUGGGGAGCGUAAGGCAGGGCUGGCACAGGAGAACUUGGGCUGGCUCCGUCAGCUUGGUGCUUCCACCCAGCAACAUCUCUCCAUGUGGGAACAGAAAAAUAUUAACUCAGGAACCCAUGCCCAUUAGUGAAUCGCUGUGUCUGCAACUUUACGCUCAUUAGAGUUUUAAUAAACUCCUGCCUGUUUUUAUAGGGAUUUUUUUCCACCACCUUUGAACUACUUGAAAACAAUAAAGUGCCCUCUUCACACAGGUUGGCCCAAUGGGAAGACUGAUCUUAUUUCCACUCUCCUCCUGAGAGUGAUGAUGCGGCCCCACGAGCCAGGGACACUAUGAUCAAAUGAGAGAUGGACUUCAGCCUCUGCGGUGACCCCCGCAGGAAGCAACUGGACAUUUCCUCUGCACAUUGUCUUUUGCAAAGAUACAACUUCUGCAGCCAGAAAAGACAGAAAGUAGACUCCAAACCACCACCUGUGACUGCCCUUGCCCAGUGUGAAGCAGAACAGUAAUGCUCAAGGAGGUGACAUCAGUGUGGCUCGAUGUCCCCAGGGAGGCUUAAGCCUGACAGACGCACCUCCUGCCAUCCUGCACUCCCACCCUGGUCGGCGAUGCCCUGAGGGAAGGGACCGUCGCUCUGCAUGUCUGUGCUUACUCACCCCACCCACACGUGGGGCCUGUGAUUCCCACGUCCCCCUGGAGGAAACUGCCUCUUUGGUGAGUAAGAUAAGAUUCCAGUUGGUUGGCAUCACGUGGGGCGUUCCUGCCCUUUGUGUUCAUAUAUGCUUUAGUGUCAUGGUUCCUGCUGGUCUAGAGAAAAAGUUUAGAAGUAAAACACAGAACCUGGGGUAGCCCCAGACCCACCAUUUUUUAAAGAAAAACUGGUGCGAGAACUUGUUUUUCAAACUAGAAAAUGCCGUACAAAUAAAGAGAGGUGAACGCAGAACUACUGGUUGUCG
rnacentral:lncRNA from 1 species